ACUUCCUGAGCCGGAACGAGAAGCUUUUUUUGGAAUGCGUGUUCCAUCAAGCUUUUGGCUUACGGUUGUGAUGUUGUGUUGUUGUGUUUGCAAUUGGUCUGUCUUUGCAGACCCCGGUAGCAAGGCUACCCCUUUUCACUUCCUGUACA
rnacentral:misc_RNA from 1 species